GACGAGGUCCACAAUCGUUAUUCGGAUUUACUGGGCUUAAAGCGUGCGUAGGCGGCUUAGCAAGUUGGGUGUGAAAGCCCUCGGCUCAACCGAGGAAUUGCGCCCAAAACUGCUGAGCUUGAGUGAGACAGAGGUGAGCGGAACUGAUGGUGGAGCGGUGAAAUGCGUUGAUAUCAUCAGGAACACCGGUGGCGAAGGCGGCUCACUGGGUCUCAACUGACGCUGAGGUACGAAAGCCAGGGUAGCGAACGGG
rnacentral:rRNA from 1 species